UAGUGUGUCACCGUUGGGAGUUGGGGCUUACUGAAGAGAGGAGGAGUGGAUUUUUUGGUCUGCCAGUUACUGACCCAUCCUUAGAUCCCAUAAGCUUACUCGAGAAGCUUUGGAGAAGGACUGUUCAAAAGAUUUCUGGAUGUUCAAAAGAACUCCACAAGUGGAAAAGAAAUCUAUGAAAUCUUAAGGCUUGCACAUACACUGACAGAAUGGAGAAUCAAAAUUCCAACAUGACAGGUGUCAGGACUCAACUGUACCUAGAACUGGACCCCAAGGAGACCUUCUUAGAAAGGAAGUACAGGACCCUGCGGUGACAUCUAACAUAGAUGGGGACCCCACAGAGGCAGCAGCACCUGAAGGUCAACUGGAGCUAUCCCCUCCCAACAGCAUCCCACUUGAAGAAGCUGAGAUAUCAGAGGAUCCACUGUCCCAGUUCCAGAUUCUCCGUACUGUUGUCUCUUAGGAUUCCAAGAGAACAGCAACAAGGAGGAAAGCUUCUGAUGAAAGGCAUGCCUUGGCGAAGGUACUCAAUUGGUGUGAAUCUGAAAUAUUUUUAACAGAAUUUUCUAUCAGCAGUAGUCUAUACCACAGAAAUGGGAAAAAUCUGAUCACUGCAGUCCAGGCAUGUUGAAAGAUGGCAAACUAUGUAAUAGAUUUCAAAUGAGUGCAAGCUAAUGUUGUGAGUGUGCACACAAAGACUGCAUGAGUUUAUGGCAUCACUGAUUUGGGCAUCCAAGCAAGGAAUGCAUCUCAGAAUUAAUAAAAGAACAAUUGGCAAGAAACCUACAAGUUAAAACAUGAAGUAAAAUGCACUGAAUGUGUUAAAGCCAAAGCAACAAGGGGCACAUAUUUAUCAACUACAGAAAGGCAAUCCAACAAGGUUUUGGAUUUGAUUCGUAGUUAUAUUUGUGGGCCUUUUCCAGUAAAGACACCAGGAAAUAAUCUUUAUUUUUUGACUUCCAUAGAUAUUUUUCUCACUACACUUACACUUAACGACUCAAAGAGAAAAAUGAGGUGUUGUCAAAACCUAAAAAAAUAUGUGGCUAGAGUAAGCAACAAGUCUAGAAGAAAACCUAAGGCUUUGUGUACUGAGGAAUAUACUGGGAAGGAUAUUGAGCAAUACUUAAAAGAACAAGGCAUUAAACAUUAGAGAACAAUAGCUUAUACUCCAGAGCAAGAUGGAGUGGAGAAAGAACAGAACUUUGAUUGAAAAGUACAGGAGGACCUUGUUACUCAUGGAUCCAGCAUCCGUGGUUUCGCACAUCUGCAGACAGGUCUGGAAAACCAAUACUGGAGAGAAGUUGUCAUGACUGCAACUUAUUUGAAGAAUAGAUUUCCAACUAAAAUUAAGGAGUAACACCUUUUGAACUGUGGAAUGGGACAAAGCUUAACUUAAAGCAUAUUAGAGUAUUUGGAUGCAAAGCAUAUGCAUAUAUUCCUAAAGAACUAAGAUGAAAAUCAGAUUGGAGAAGUGAAGAAGGAAUAUUAAUAGGUUAUGCAAUAAACAACAAAAACUACAUAAUACUUGAUCCUAUCACAGAGACUGUUAAGCUACGCAGUGUUGCAUAUUUUGAUCAAAAGCAAAAGUCAAAUGCCAGUGUGAUGUCUGACUGUGACCUGGAUUUUCCAAUGUGAAAAGGCUGAACAGCAACAAAAUGUACAAGUAAUGAUAGACUAUGAUAUAAUAGAGAGACUCAGAGAAGGGGAGAUGGAGACAGAACCAGAGAGUUCCACUCAAGAAGAGGAGAUUGAUGGAACAAGAAGUGAGACACUCAAGCAGAGUUAAUAAAAGGAUUCCACUGAAAAGAUUGUCAUUGGCAGCCAGAAAGGAGAAAAUGCCUGAACCUACAGAUUGGCACAAAAUUGAAGGCAUGCCACAUUCAGAGACAGAUAAAUUGCUGCAAUUGGGAAAGGCAAAGUUUGCAUCACAUCAUAAAACAAAACAUGAGACUUGGAAUUCAAGAACGAGACAAUGAGAAGGGGAAUGCUGGUAUUUUUCCAUAGACAUUUUCUCACUUAUUUGUAUGGGGCAUGCUUGAAUUUGAAUUUAUCUAUGUGCUGGCUUGCGGGUGGAGUCACAGUGGUUUUUUGUCUGCUUCUUACUUGCUGUCCUGAAUUCAAACUGAGAAGUUCUCUCUCUCUCUCUAAAGGAGACUGUUAGUCUGUUUAUUGUUUUCUUAGCCUAUGUUUUAGUUAGAAAUAAAUAUCAAACUCUUGCUUCUCAGUUAAAGUUGCUCACUGUACAAUUACUUAUAGAGGAUAAGUAAUUUAUCUGCAACAAGCUACCCUAUUUAUCCUAUGGAGAGGGGUAGAAACCCCUUUAUUUGACCAAAGAACUUUAGAAGAUAUAUACGGUAAUCACAAAAAAGAAUAUACUAUUAAUAACCAAGAUCUCACUUUAUCAUGUUUUUAUCCUUGAAUAUUAUUAGGUAUAAUUGUACACUCACCAACUAUAUUAUGAGCAACUAUAUGCCUAGCACAAUUGUUGCUAAUAAAGGAACACGUUUCCCUGGAGCUUUUCCAGAUGGCAAGCUUUACUGUGGGAGAAAAUAGCUUAAGUUAAUGCGAGUUAGGAUGAGAGCAUAUGCCGCAUCUUUAUGCGCAUUCAGGUGUACAUGAGUAUAAAUCAGAGGAAAUCAGGGCCUUUCUCAAUGCUGCCACCGCCACCCUCACCCCCACUGCCUUCUGCUUCUCUCUUCCUCUUCUACCUCCUCCGCAUCUUGCCUGUUGCCUGGCACCCGCCCAACCUCUCACAAGUGGCAGAGAAGUUCAGGAGGAAUCCCGUGCAGCCUCUCAUCUUGCCAACCUGCUGGUGAGACAGACAGUGGGGCAGCGCAGCUUCUCUCUCAUGACACCAGAUGGAACCUUUGCGAUAAAGAAAGUCCUCUCAUUGGAUCUAUGUGAUAGCCAUGUGGGUUAAAUUGGCCUUUUCUAUUUGUUUGUAAUGCAACCUUCUCCUUAGAACAUGAUGAGCCAUGAUACUUGGCAUGCUCAUUCAGAGCUUAAUUUUAUGUAUCAAGUUUGCAUAUGGCCCCAACACAGCAGCCCUUUUAAAACCAGCAGUGUAAACAUUUAGAUAUCUUCAUUGAAAUUCAUUAUUAAUCUAAACAGAGCAAUAAUAUGUUCAUGUGUUUAUUACAUUUUUAUCAUGCCCUUCCUCCAAGAGCUCAGGGCAACCUAGAUGACCGUCUUGCUUAACCUAACAUUUAGAAUAUUCCAGUUGUUUGUUAAAAAUAUUGUCAAGGCCCAUACUUAUGCAAAACCAAGCAAAUUUACUAUAGCAAUACUGUGCCUAAAAUUCCAGCCAUACAACAAAGUAUGGCUGAAAUACUGUCCCUAUUGAAAUAAGAGCAUUUCCUUCUCUGUUUACCUUUAGGAUGACCCUCAAGACGCAACUGUUUUCUGAGGCUUUUAACUGAAAUUAAUUUUAAACUAUUUAAUGUGUCUUUAUCUCCUGAGAUGGUUUUUAUUUGUCUUGAAUUCUAACUGUUUUUAUUCUGUUUUUACAUUUGUUAUGUUUUAGCUUUGUAAACUGCCUAAAGAUAGAUAUAUCAGGUAGUGUAGAAACUAACUUAAUUAAUUGAUUGAUUGAUUGAUUGAUUGUCAGUGAAGAAAUUAAAGUGCCAGAGAACUGUACCAUAUAUUUCUUCAUUUUGUCAUUUUGAGACAAUUUAUGUGAAAUCUUGAUCAAUUCAGGCACAUUGUUAUUAAACUAUUAUU